rnacentral:lncRNA from 1 species
UAGGGGCAGCUAUGGCCACCAUCGCCUCGGCAGGCGCUACGGCCCGCUGUCCCGGCUCUCUCCCGAAAGGACAUUACAUUAAUAUUAUACUAUAUCAUAUAUUUAUGUAUUAGUAUAUAUUAUAUUUUAUUAUGCUCUAUUGUAUAAUACUAGUAAUGUUUUUUAUGGCCAUUUUGUUAUACAAAAGUACUUUCUCAGUUUAUUUACCAAACAAAUGUUAAAGUGCCACAUCACUUUAAAAAUGUAGUUAGUAAACAGCAAAUAACUUUUUAUAAAAGGUUUAUUUUCAAGAGCUCUACUUUCAACAACUCUACUGCAAACAGCUUUCUCAAACAGGGCCUACUUCGCUAAUCUCUAAUUUUUGACGGCCUGUGAGGGUGCAAACAAACUUCCCCGCAUCUCAAAC